GGGAGAGGAGCCCAGCCCAGGAUUCCCAGGUGCUUCUGCUUGCUGAUCAGGAGGCACACAGAGCACUCACCAUGAAGACUGAGCUGAGCUGGGUUUUCCUUGUUGCUAUUUUAAAAGGUGUCCAGUGUGAGGUGCAGCUGGUGGAGUCUGGGGGAGGCUUGGUUCAGCCUGGGGGGUCCCUGAGACUCUCCUGUGCAGCCUCUGGAUUCACCUUCAGCAGCUAGCUAUAGCAUGAAUUGGGUCCGCCAGGCUCCAGGGAAGGGGCUGGAGUGGGUCUCAUACAUUAGAUAUGAUGGUGGUAGCACAUACUACGCAGACUCCGUGAAGGGCCGAUUCACCAUCUCCAGAGACAACGCCAAGAACUCGCUGUAUCUGCAGAUGAACAGCCUGAGAGCCGAGGACACGGCCGUGUAUUACUGUGCGAGAGACACAGUGAGGGGAAGUCAGUGUGAGCCCGGACACAAACCUCCUGCAGGGGACCCCGCGACCACCAGGGGGCGCCCGGGCGCUGUACACGGGGCUGUCUCGGGGCAGGUGCAGGUGCUGCUGAGGGCUGGCUUCAUGUCAUGGUCUGGGGCUGACUCCUCAUCAGGUUUCCUCGGAGAACCUUUCAGAUUUAUGAUUCUGUACUAA